rnacentral:antisense_RNA from 2 species
CUUGAUCGAGCCCAGCCACAGCGGGCCGUGCUCGCGCUCCUGGCCGUAGGUGGCCAGCAGGGCCUGGGCCUC